AAGGUGGCUUCGGCUACCACUUACAGAUGGACCCGCGGCGCAUUAGCUAGUUGGUGAGGUAACGGCUCACCAAGGCAACGAUGCGUAGCCGACCUGAGAGGGUGAUCGGCCACACUGGGACUGAGACACGGCCCAGACUCCUACGGGAGGCAGCAGUAGGGAAUCUUCCGCAAUGGACGAAAGUCUGACGGAGCAACGCCGCGUGAGUGAUGAAGGUUUUCGGAUCGUAAAGCUCUGUUGUUAGGGAAGAACAAGUACCGUUCGAAUAGGGCGGUACCUUGACGGUACCUAACCAGAAAGCCACGGCUAACUACGUGCCAGCAGCCGCGGUAAUACGUAGGUGGCAAGCGUUGUCCGGAAUUAUUGGGCGUAAAGGGCUCGCAGGCGGUUUCUUAAGUCUGAUGUGAAAGCCCCCGGCUCAACCGGGGAGGGUCAUUGGAAACUGGGGAACUUGAGUGCAGAAGAGGAGAGUGGAAUUCCACGUGUAGCGGUGAAAUGCGUAGAGAUGUGGAGGAACACCAGUGGCGAAAGCGACUCUCU
rnacentral:rRNA from 1 species